ACUGAGAUGCCAAGACAUCCUAGAAAUCUUCUUCUUCUUCCAGAAAUGUUCAAGGAUAAGAACUGCUGGUCAGACAGGGUAGACUGAGAGAGGGAGGAGGGGCAACUGCCUCACAAUUAGAAUCAGAGCUCUGUGAGCUAAUAAUCUAAUAAUGGCAAAAUCUCUUUCAAGCUUUCUUUAACAAAGGGGAUAAACCACAGAGACAGCCUUGCCCUGGGCAUCAUCAUCCAGCCCCUGAAAGUCCCAAUAGUCCCUCUGUAAUAUGUGGAGAACCUGGAGGAAUGAUCCAAACUGCGGUGACUCCGUGGCAUAAUUUAAAUAUUUGAGGGAUUAUUAUUACUCUGUUCUACUUCUAAGCCAACUACAGAUUUCCCUCUGUAUGGUGGCCUAAAAACAGACCUAAGCCAGAAAUGAAGAAAGUCCUAAACCAAAAACCAAGUCUCCUUCCUUCACUCAGAUCUCCUCCCAAGGAGAAAAAGAACACAGAGAACAAAAGACCUCAGAGAAGCUCAGAAAGACAGGACUAAGAGCCUGCCUGACAGCCAGAAAUCCUCCCCAUGGAACAACGGGAGCUAUUCAGGCCAGACACCACAAGAGCCUGGCUCCCCAGCCUUCAUCCAAGGGAAUUUUGGCUCUGAAGCUGGUGUUUUAUAUUCUGCACGUACAGUACUUCCUUGGGGCUAAAUACCUAUUGCCAACCACUUUUUCUCAAGGAGCUGGAGGGGGGUAAAGAAGGUUUAUAUGGGAAUCAAUUUCUUCCCUGGGUAAUUUACUUUUUCAGAGGUCUUCACAGCCUGGCUGGUUCAGUUCAGUUAAAUGAAUCCUCCCCUUAACAGUAGAGAGAAAAAUGAAGGGGGGCAGGACCUCAUUUAACCAGUGACUGAAAGGAGGGCUGGAUCCCCUUGACAAAGUCUCAGUUCAAACCCUCCCUCUUGACACUGAGAAAUCCCCCAAGCUGCUUUUCUAAAUACCUGAAGAGCUUGGGGCUGGCUAGGGAGGGUCUUGGGGUCAGGAGGGCUGUUUAGAAGUCACCUUUGCUGUCUAGGCCUCAGUGGCUGAUGAACACUCUUGUUACAUACCCUUAAUCUCUCCUAGCUAGAGCCCCUCGCCAUCUGAGCCCUGACCCUUCAUGUACUAGUAGGUGUCUAAGCUUCUCCUUGCUCUGGAACAAGGGGAAGUCAGCCAGUCCCAUGAGCCCCUCAAACCACUCUCAUGGGCUCCUCCAGCCACUUGUCCAGGACCAAUCCUAGACAAUAUUCUGACUAACUGAGCACUUCUCUCUUCCCACCAGGGCCUGUAGGACCUCUUUCAUUCCUAUAAAGUCUUGCUCUCAGGAAUGGCAACCAUUUUUGUAACCUUAGUGAAUAAAGGCUUAAAAUGUUCCCUGUCUCUCAAGGGUUUCUGUGUUUUAGUAGAGGGACUCAGAGAAGCUCUUCAACAUUAGAAGAAAUAAGUUUUAAUGAUACCAGGGACUGUGAUAGGAGGGAGGAAACAUUUUUGGUGACAAGAGAAUAGGCCUGCCCCAACUAUGUCUAAAGGUCUUUUCCAUUCUAAAAGUACAAAAGAAAUCUCAGCUUUUGGAUGAGGAUAGAGCUAGCCUGUACUCCUCUGAGAUGGGCAAUUGCCGUUUAGGAGCCCAGCUUUAACAGAUGUUUAUCAUAACAGCUCUAUGGGUACCCUAUUAUGGAGACCCUAAAUGGAGUAGAUUGGACUUUUGAGGGGUGGGAAAGGAGACAAAAGAGUGGAAGAGGCAUUUUCCUAGUCCAUGGGCUCCUAGUUCAAGAAGUAAGUCAAGAAAGAAAUACAAAAAUAUU